rnacentral:tRNA from 1 species
GGGCCAAUGGUCUAGAUGGUAUGGUGCGCCCUUAGGGUUACUUAACUUGGGCGAGGUCCUGGGUUCAAUUCCCAGUUGGCCCC